rnacentral:rRNA from 1 species
UACGAAGGGGGCUAGCGUUGCUCGGAAUCACUGGGCGUAAAGCGCACGUAGGCGGAUUUCUAAGUCAGGGGUGAAAUCCUGGAGCUCAACUCCAGAACUGCCUUUGAUACUGGGAAUCUUCGAGUCCGGGAGAGGUGAGUGGAACUGCGAGUGUAGAGGUGAAAUUCGUAGAUAUUCGCAAGAACACCAGUGGCGAAGGCGGCUCACUGGCCCGGUACUGACGCUGAGGUGCGAAAGCGUGGGGAGCAAACAGG